rnacentral:rRNA from 2 species
UGGGGAAUAUUGCACAAUGGAGGGAACUCUGAUGCAGCGACGCCGCGUGAACGAAGAAGGCUUUCGAGUCGCAAAGUUCUUUUAUAUGGGAAGAUAAUGACGGUACCAUAAGAAAAAGCCCCGGCUAACUACGUGCCAGCAGCCGCGGUAAUACGUAGGGGGCUAGCGUUGUCCGGAAUCACUGGGCGUAAAGGGUUCGCAGGCGGAAAUGCAAGUCAGGUGUAAAAGGCAGUAGCUUAACUACUGUAAGCAUUUGAAACUGCAUAUCUUGAGAAGAGUAGAGGUAAGUGGAAUUUUUAGUGUAGCGGUGAAAUGCGUAGAUAUUAAAAAGAAUACCGGUGGCGAAGGCGACUUACUGGGCUCAUUCUGACGCUGAGGAACGAAAGCGUGGGUAGCAAACAGG